CAGGUGUGAUAUGCAAUAAAUAAAUAAAUAAAUAAAAAUCCAAAUGAUUCUAAAAGGAUCCUGGCACUGGGUCAUAGUUCAAACCAUGGUCAGCCACUGGAGUUCAUUUGUCACUAGUGGUCAGAUUCUGCUUGCCUUACUCCGCACUCAAGUGCGCUGAUUUCACCGAGGCUACUUGCCCUCUUGGGUACAAACUGUUGUAAUUAAGGGGGAGAGGAACAUCCCUUAAUCCCUAAAAGACCUCUUUGUCUUUCCCCAAAAUUAUGAUGUCAUCUGAUCAGAGAAAAAAAAAAAAAAAAGUGUCACAAAGCUUGGGCUUAGCUGGAAGACUUGAGAGUUAAAUUGUGCGUGUGUGUGUGUGUUUAAAUGCCUCUCAAAAUGCUGCACAUUCACUUAUCCCCUUUUUGGAUAUGCAAUUUUCAUUCUAUUGAUUUUUUUGACAUAUGGUUAUGUAAAGCAUGUAAUAGCAAACUCUACCCAUUUACACCUUCCAGAAGGCAGUAACUUCAGGAGUUAAUGCAAGAUUAUUUUUAGGAUGUAUUCAAGUUUAUUCAUGCUGAAAGGUAGUAGUUAUCUUUUGUAAUUUUAGAGUAGUUAUUUGAAUAAAAACAUGAGUAUAGUUCCAUUUUAACUGCCAUGUGACAUUUGGGAGCUGGGUAAAACUUCUCCCAGGAUGCCAAAAUCUCAGAUAUUUUUCUUCUGCAUCUCAGCAGUGCACACAAUACCUGUGUAUGUGUUGGGACCUAUGUCUAUAAACACAUAAAAUAUGAGUAAUCUUGUAUACACUGAGAGAAUAUUAUACCAUAAACAAGGAAAGUAUCUCUAGGCCAGAAGGAAGUGGUUUUCAUUUUUUAAUUUUUAUUUUUAUUUUUUCUGUUCUGUUUUGUUUUUGUUGAAAUUCAGCUAUGCUUUUGCGUCCAAAUUCCAUAUUAAACUAUCACCAGAGGAGUUACUAGAUAACAAUCUGUGGGUCCUCAGCUGAGUAUUCUCCCUAGAGCUGGGUAAAUAUUUCUGUUAGCCAAGUAACUGAACCCUUCUUCAGUUCAUAGACUAUAUGAGAAGAGGUUGCAAGUUUCUCAUGUUUUGGGGUCACUGUUCAGCUAAGUCUUACGUUGUUGUUUCUGCUUUCUAAUGGAAUAACUGAAAACAAAGAGUCUGCAAAAUGAGUGUGUAAUUUUGGAGGAAGGAGCUCGGUUGUUUGUCCAAGAAGGCACGUAGGGAUUUGGCUAGGACAGACUACACGGAGGCACCAGCAAAAGGUCAACAAAAUGCAUUUUGCAAAAUUUUCUUUGUUCCAAGUUUGAUUUACAAGAACUUGAAUAUAAGCCUCUUAUUUGGAGAUAACUGUGGGUCUGACACUAGAAGAAGCUAUGCUGUAAAAAUAAUAAAUGAGUCAUGAUGAUAAUGAGGCUAUAGUUAUGCAAUAACAAGUUAUCCUUACUUCCUUUGCAGGCACUGCACAAUUGCACAUUUUGAUGUUCAAGAUAAUCUGGGUUGCUCCUAUUCUAGGGCCUGUGUUCCUACCUCUGUGUAAUACUGUCUUGCAGAAGAAUUUUGCAGAAUAAUGACUUUCACAGACUCUUUCACAAACAAACAUAUCAUAAAAGUAUUUGUUCUGCUGGGUUCAUUGACAGCAUUGUUCAAAGAGGCAUUUUAUGACAUUUCUUCUCCUAAUCUAUAUUUCUAUUCAGGGUGUUCUGAAAGCAUUUUCCAGCUUGUGAGUCCUAAUGAACCAUCCAUGUAUAUGUUUGUGUUUCCUCGACAAUAAACUCUUCUAACUCCCAAGUGAUGUUUGGCAGCUGGAAUCGCAUGGCUGCUGUGGAUCAAUGGAAGGCGGUCAGAGCAUUUCCUCUUCACAUGACCAAGUCAUAGGAAUAAGAAAGUGUGUCGGGUGACCACAGUUUGUAUUUGAAAAAGGCCAAAAAUGUUGGCAAAACUGUUUAUGUAAACAAAGGAACCAUUUUAUGCACGUAGCUCCUGGAGAACAUGUGGGAUCUGCCACGUUUUUCUUACCUUAAUUUCAGUGCUGUUAUUUGGAUUGUCGUUACUGUACUUAACUCCAAGCAGGUUAAUUGUUUUCUAUUUAUCAUUUAUUAUUGCUGAAUCCCUCAUCUUCAGGUUCUUUUUGAGAAAUUGAGGGCUUUCUUACUAAAAGGCUAAAAUCAGAGAGAGGAGUCAGCUCAGGUAACAUUUUUUUUUUUUUUUUGAUUUCUUGCUUUGCUUUGGUGCUUUUACAACCAAAUUCUUUUCCCCACAUUUCUACUGAUGCAAGAGCCCGUGUGAACUGUCCCAGAGAUGCCUUAAACACAGACCCUUCAGGAUGUCCCAUCUCCUGUCUCCUCCCGACUCCUGCUUCAGUCCCUGCCACCGGCCCACCCUCACCACAAGGGUUUGUACGCAUGAAGAGCCAGAGAAGCAUCCCUUUUGGUCCCUCCUGCCCCUGAGGGCAUCUCGACUCCCACUCAUCCACCUCCUGCCUUGCCCCUCGCUGAAAGCCCCGCAGGACCUGCAGUGAACUUUGACUUCUCCAGCAGGAAAGGCAGAGCUAAGCAGCAACCAAAGCAUCAUUUAUGUGCCCCUGGACACUGACGACCUGCAAAUGAGGAAUGAGCCUGGGUGCAUGCUGCCUGCCCUUCCCUCUACCCCCAGGAAGGCGGUGGGAUGCAAGCCCAGGGCCAUCAGCAGGACCUGCUGGCAGCAGGCCCAAUAGCAAUAAAGAACACAACCGAUGAGCUGUCAGCCUGGCAUGUCCUGGGCACCUUGGAGCAGAUGUCGCACGCUCAGCUGUUAAUGACACAGCUGUCAGCUGAAGGACACCACGUGCAAGGCACUGUUGACAUACAGUCAAUUGGCUCUGGGGCAGGUUUGUUUACUGCUUUGCUUUUCCCUGACAUUUUUUUUUCACACAGAAUGUGUCCAAGGUCUCACAUUCUAUUCAGUAUAUAAAAUAACAUUUCUGUGACACAGAACACCCCAAUAUAAUACGUGGUCUUCUCACUUCAGCCAUUGCUUGGGAGAUGCUGGAUGUGACAUCCAGUUUAUCCUGAAAUUUCAGAGUGGAGCGUUCCCCUUAUUUCUGUACAUCAGAAAUGAGUUUGCUAACCGGGGAAAAACAAAAGUCUAUCACCAUGGGGAAUAUUUUAAGAAAUCAGAAAAGCGACAUUCUCUAUGACAAAUGACACUUAGAAAUGGUAAAAUAAUGUUUAAUAGUGGCAGAGGUUACUUGCUGCUGGCGUUGCGGAAGUCUGGAAUGUCAAAGGACUAGGAAAGCUUGAUCUGUGUUUUCAGCUUCACAAAGGAAAAAGAAGAAAAAGUAAAACAUGUGAUUCGUUACUUAAAAUAAGAGAGUGGGUAGGAAGUGAGGGAGGAUGACUCGCCCGCCUUUAAAUGGAAAUAUGUCCAAAGACCCAUCUGGCAUGUCUGAAGGAGCAGGCAGAGCCGAUACUGCUGAGCUGCUGCUUUGUGCGUUCAUUGCCACAGCAGCACCUUUGUUCUUCUCCGGAACUGCCCCGGUGUUGCUGAGCUCAGGCCGACUGGGUUGAGCUGAACUGGGAGAAAUUAAUCUUACCAGGGCCCAGAGGACUUUAAUGCCAAUGCUUGUGGCGCUGAGAACUCACAUCCUGGCAGUGUGCUCUGACUUCUUGGUGGAGAUGAGCCCUGGGGAUCAGACUUUGAUUACCUGAAGCAGGCAUCUCCAGACUUCCCCACCAAGGUGCUGACUUGGGCUGGUGCAUUAACCCGGCACGGCCGCGGGCAGCAGACAUCGGAUCAGCUCCAGGUGCUUGGCCAGCUCCUGGGGAACUGCGCAGCCUGCUAUGAAACCACGCUGGAGGAGACUGGAAUGGCAGCUUUGGCUCAUGAUGGAUGAUCCCUAAUUUAUUUCCACUGUAAAAGGUUUUGGAGACAAGGUUACCCUAUAAAUAAUGUUUAAAUUGUAAUUUUGUUAAAUACCCUUCUCCUGCAGGAAUAAAUAAAUUGCUUUCUGCUUUCAUUAUACCAAGGAGUCAGCAACAUA